rnacentral:rRNA from 1 species
UACAGAGGUCUCAAGCGUUGUUCGGAUUCAUUGGGCGUAAAGAGCUUGUAGGCGGUUUGUCGCGUCUGCUGUGAAAUUUCGGGGCUCAACCCCGGACUUGCAGUGGGUACGGGCAGACUAGAGUGUGGUAGGGGAGACUGGAAUUCCUGGUGUAGCGGUGAAAUGCGCAGAUAUCAGGAGGAACACCGAUGGCGAAGGCAGGUCUCUGGGCCAUAACUGACGCUGAGAAGCGAAAGCAUGGGGAGCGAACAGG